rnacentral:tRNA from 1 species
UAAGUGGAAGCCAAAUAAGGCAACUAUCUGUUACAUAGUAAUCUGCUUGGACCCAAGCCCGCUUAA